rnacentral:rRNA from 1 species
AUUGAACGCUGGCGGCAGGCCUAACACAUGCAAGUCGAGCGGGGUUUUCGGACCUAGCGGCGGACGGGUGAGUAAUGCGUAGGAAGCUGCCCGAUAGAGGGGGAUACCAGUUGGAAACGACUGUUAAUACCGCAUAAUGUCUACGGACCAAAGUGUGGGACCUUCGGGCCACAUGCUAUCGGAUGCGCCUACGUGGGAUUAGCUAGUUGGGGAGGUAAUGGCUCACCAAGGCGACGAUCUCUAGCUGGUUUGAGAGGAUGAUCAGCCACACUGGAACUGAGACACGGUCCAGACUCCUACGGGAGGCAGCAGUGGGGAAUAUUGGACAAUGGGCGCAAGCCUGAUCCAGCCAUGCCGCGAGUGUGAAGAAGGCCUUCGGGUUGUAAAGCACUUUCAGCGAGGAGGAAGGGUUGUGUGUUAAUAGUACACAGCUUUGACGUUACUCGCAGAAGAAGCACCGGCUAACUCUGUGCCAGCCGCCGCAGUAAGAC